rnacentral:rRNA from 1 species
UGGUGGAGUGAUUUGUCUGGUUAAUUCCGUUAACGAACGAGACCUCAGCCUACUAACUAGAUACCGGUAUGCUCGCAUAUCGUAUAUAUCGUAUCUUCUUAGAGGGACUGUCGGUUUCUAGCCGAUGGAAGUGUGAGGCAAUAACA